UGGGGAAUAUUGGACAAUGGGGGGAACCCUGAUCCAGCCAUGCCGCGUGUGUGAAGAAGGCCUUAUGGUUGUAAAGCACUUUAAGCGAGGAGGAGGGUACUGGUAUUAAUACUACCAGGUACUGGACGUUACUCGCAGAAUAAGCACCGGCUAACUCUGUGCCAGCAGCCGCGGUAAUACAGAGGGUGCGAGCGUUAAUCGGAUUUACUGGGCGUAAAGCGCGCGUAGGUGGUUCGUUAAGUUGAAUGUGAAAGCCCCGGGCUCAACCUGGGAACUGCAUCCAAAACUGGCGAGCUAGAGUAGGGCAGAGGGUGGUGGAAUUUCCUGUGUAGCGGUGAAAUGCGUAGAUAUAGGAAGGAACACCAGUGGCGAAGGCGACCACCUGGGCUCAUACUGACACUGAGGUGCGAAAGCGUGGGGAGCAAACAGG
rnacentral:rRNA from 1 species